rnacentral:lncRNA from 1 species
CUGUUGCGAGUUCAUCCGAGCUGGGAGCUCGGUUCUUUGCUUUUUGCUUAGGCUUUUGUGCCUAUAGUUUGUGAAGUCGGACUUAAUUUCUUGCUCUCUUGUUGAGCCUUAUUCGGGCUGCCUAUUGUGUUUACCAGUACUGAGCUCAUUUUCUUGAGAUCGUCGUGGUGUUUUGACACUUUUGGCUGUUGUGUGAGAUCAAAGUCUCUCUACCUGAUGAUUCGAGCUCCUUUGGGAGGUCGGAGUUUAGCUUUUUCAUUUAUGGUCCCGUGCCCCAAUCUUUUAUGUGAGAUCAGAACUAUGUUCUUAUGAGUUGUUUUUGCUUGUAGCACCGGAUGAUCUUGGGGAUUCCGGCCAUUUUUGCUCCGGGAGAUCUUUGAGAUCUUCGCCGGUCUUCUACCUCAGUGAGG